rnacentral:lncRNA from 1 species
AUGACUUCAAGUCUAUUAGUUCAUCGUUGCUUCAUUUUCCACAGCUGUAAAGUAGCAAUGGGAUGUAUGCCUAGCUGCUGCUCAGGUGAGGUCAAGAGGAGAAAGAGCAGAGAACAGUCAUGUCACUCGUCUGGAAGACCUUUCAAAAAAGUCUUCACCGAUACUAGAAAUGCACACAGUUUCAUUCUGCUCACAUCCAGCACUGAGAAAGUUGACCAGUUGACCGCUUCACCCUAUAAUUCGGUUUCUGCAGCACCUUCCUCCUAUAGAAAUUGUUGA